GAUGAACGCUGGCGGCGUGCCUAAUACAUGCAAGUCGAUCGAACAGACCAGGAGCUUGCUCCUCUGACUUUAGCGGCUGACGGGUGAGUAACACGUGGUUAACCUACCUAUCAGACUGGGUUAACUUCGGGAAAUCGGUGCUAAUACCGGAUAAUUUAUUGACUCGUAUGGUUCAAUAGUGAUAUACGUUUUUGCUGUCACUUAUAGAUUGGUCCUCGCCGCAUUAGCUAGUUGGUAAGGUAACGGCUUACCAAGGCAACGAUGCGUAGCCGACCUGAAUGAGAGAACGGACACGUUGGAUGAGAGAAAGGGGCCAGACACCUACGGGAGGCAGCAGAAGGGAAUCUUACGCAAUGGGCAAAAGUCGGACAUAGCAAAGCCGCGUGAGUGAUGAAGGUAUAAGGAUCGGAAAACGCUGUUAAGAGGGAAGAACAAAAGUGUAAGUAACUGAGCAAAUCAUGACGGUACCUAAUCAAAAAGCCACGGCUAACUACGUG
rnacentral:rRNA from 1 species